CAGUCGCCACGGGAAUACAGAGGGUGCGAGCGUUAAUCGGAUUUACUGGGCGUAAAGCGUGCGUAGGCGGCUUUUUAAGUCGGAUGUGAAAUCCCUGAGCUUAACUUAGGAAUUGCAUUCGAUACUGGGAAGCUAGAGUAUGGGAGAGGAUGGUAGAAUUCCAGGUGUAGCGGUGAAAUGCGUAGAGAUCUGGAGGAAUACCGAUGGCGAAGGCAGCCAUCUGGCCUGAUACUGACGCUGAGGUACGAAAGCAUGGGGAGCAAACAGGAUUAGAUACCCCCGUAGUCCCUGUCUCUUAUAC
rnacentral:rRNA from 1 species